GAUGAACGCUGGCGGCGUGCCUAAUACAUGCAAGUCGAGCGAACAGAUGAGGAGCUUGCUCGUCUGACGUUAGCGGCGGACGGGUGAGUAACACGUGGAUAACCUACCUAUAAGACUGGGAUAACUUCGGGAAACCGGAGCUAAUACCGGAUAAUAUAUUGAACCGCAUGGUUCAAUAGUGAAAGCCGGUUUUGCUGUCACUUAUAGAUGGAUCCGCGCCGCAUUAGCUAGUUGGUAGGGUAACGGCUUACCAAGGCAACGAUGCGUAGCCGACCUGAGAGGGUGAUCGGCCACACUGGAACUGAGACACGGUCCAGACUCCUACGGGAGGCAGCAGUGGGGAAUCUUCCGCAAGGGGCGAAAGCCUGACGGAGCAGCGCCGCGUGAGUGAUGAAGGUCUUCGGAUCGUAAAACUCUGUUAUUGGGGAAGAACAAAUGUGUAAGUAACUAUGCGCGUCUGGACGGUACCUAAGCAGAAAGCCACGGCUAACUACGU
rnacentral:rRNA from 1 species